AUUGAACGCUGGCGGCAGGCCUAACACAUGCAAGUCGAACGAGUGGCGGACGGGUGAGUAAUGUCUGGGAAACUGGCUGAUGGAGGGGGAUAACUACGGGAAACGGUAGCUAAUACCGCGUACCAUACGAUGUGCCCAGGUGGGAUUAGGUAGUUGGUGAGGUAAAGGCUCACCAAGGCGACGCUCCCUAGCUGGUCUGAGAGGAUGACCAGCCACACUGGGACUGAGACACGGCCCAGACUCCUACGGGAGGCAGCAGUGGGGAAUAUUGCGCAAUGGGCGCAAGCCUGACGCAGCCAUGCCGCGUGUAUGAAGAAGGCCUUCGGGUUGUAAAGUUCUGUCGGUAGGGAGGCGUUACCUGCAGAAGAAGCACCGGCUAACUCCGUGCCAGCAGCCGCGGUAAUUC
rnacentral:rRNA from 1 species